rnacentral:tRNA from 1 species
GCGUCGGCCGGGCACCGGAGAGCCCCGGUGGCCGUAACCCGCCCCGCCCCCGGGCGUUGGCGGUUCGAUUCCGUCCCGGCGCACC